UAAAUAAUUGCAGAAAAUAUUCCUUUAUAGGAACUGCGGUUGGGAUUUUCGUGUAGGGUAUCUUUAUUAAAACUGACGUUAGAGAUUUAAUUAUAUUGGUUUAGUUGUGGGCUGCAUUUAUGCUGCUGAAUAUUUAUUCUGGAUUUAAAAGCCGCAUUUCUGCCGCUUCGAUCUCAAGUAUGUUUUUGGUUGCCAAGCGUCGUUUUAUAAGCGUACAAAGGUGCCCGGCUCACCUUACGGGUUUUGUGUUCCUCGCAUGUCCCCGAAGUCUACCCAUGGGGGCGCUGUUUCCUCGCUUCCGCAAGGCCGAGUUCUGCGUUUACCACGUGACGACCAUCCGUCUUUUUUAACGGUAGACUAAGAAUAAUAUAGUUCAGGGAUUCUUUGAUAUUGUCACGGAUCUGAGGACUUAGACGUGUGUUUAAUCUAAAUGAAUCGUACUUUCUUCCAAACGUGUUAAAGUACAUACUGAAGCUGUGGUUAUCUAAAGCUUACCCCCCCGAAAUAUUUAGGUGCCUCCUGCACUGUCCAUUACGCAAAAUCACCGUACUUAUAAAUUUCUUAAACUAUGUUUCCUUUCACAUUUAAAAUUUAAAUGUAUAUUCCCCAUUCGACAUAUGUAAUUCAGUUUUUUUAAUCAUAAUAUGUUGUAAAACAUACAUCUAUGAAAAUAUAUUGUAGUGCAGGAACAGUAAUUUUAUAUCCCUAGCCAUAACUAGUUAAAAGGUAGUAAUAUUCUUAUUCAAAAUCGAUAAUAAUCAUAGUAAAACUGUUGGACAGAAUAUUUGUUCAGCAGGGUUGCCAACUUUGGUCAUCUGGCUGGCGUGAGAUUUUCAAUUCGAGACGAGUCUGCAUGUACACGCAUACGCAUUUACAUUUAUGUAAUACUUUCCUUACCUUGCAAAUAGUCUGUAGGGUUUGUAAACUACUCCAUCGUUUUGAUGUAGCUAAUUUGAGGUUCAUAAUGGAAUAAUAUAGAUUCGCCCGUAAGAUUUCUUGCGUGAGUGUGACAGUCUGAAAGCGUGAGUGUCACGCCAGAUGCGGUUGGCAACACUGGUACAGCUUGAGGUUUCCAGAUAAAAAUUCUGGUUCUAGUGAAAAGAACCAAUUGUAUCAUUUGCCCCAGAAACUAGAGUGUCAAACAAAUGAUCUAUUUCCAUACAUUCUCAGCCUUUUUAUCUGUUUGCUUGGCAAACAUAUAAUCCAAAGAAAAAUACAAUGCCUAUAUUUUUCACUAUUAAAAAUGGAUUAUUAGUAUGAAAAAGAAAUUACUCUGUAUAUACCUGGAUGGUGUAACAGAUGUUUCGUGUCAGGAUCUGAAGUCAUAACCUUCCCACCACACAUCCAGUUCCUUAAUCACUAGACCAUCUGCCACCCACUUUUUUCAGGUACAGCGUAAGCAGGUUUGUCCCCGAUAAGCAGUUUUAAUUUAGGUGAUGGAAAAAGGACUUUGGGAAGAAUGAAGCUUGGAUCUCGGCCGCCUCUAACCAAGCCCUUACGUUUUACAGCUAUUAUUUAAGAGAAAGGUUUGGACAAGGCAUAUUUUUGUGAUCAUAACAUAUUUUUAUCCUGGCCACCUCCUAAGUGAAACAUCUCUGCACCUCAAUGAAGAUAACGACCACAUUAAUUAUGACACUUUGGGAGGAAAGCCUUUUCGGGCCGCGAUAUUCCUGAAUUGCGUUUGUGUGGAAGCAGGUGAGACCGUUUUUUUUUUGUUUUUUUUAACUGAGAAUCUCACAUCUGCCUGGCGUUUGGAGAGAUACCGCCGGAAGCAUGGCAAAUAAAAUGUGCGCUCGGCGAACGCCGCGGCGCAGCCUGGACCGCCACAGCUGCUUCCCACCGCCGCCUGUCCCACAAUCAAUCCACUCGUCUGUUUGCUGUCUUCUCUCCAAACACACGGCGGUUUGUGUGCGCUCCCGUUCAGCGGGGGCCAAUUUCGGCACAUUUUAUCUUAGCUAACAGGCACCUAUCAAAAGUAUGAUCUUCUGUUGCCCUUGCUAAUUAGGCAGCAGAUGAGAAGGAGGAUGGCGAUGAGAGCCUUCAGUGGGCAACAUCAGGUGAUGGCCUCCUCACCACACACCACACCACUGCUGGUUCGUCCCCCAGGAACGGCCCUACGAGCGGGUGUUUAGCUACAAGCACAAAGUGCCACCCUAAGACCCUGAACACAGCCUGCGUCCACACAGUAAAUAUGAAGCGAGGAGGAGAGGAAUCCCCUUGGAGCUAGUCUACGAGAUGAUCUGGGAACUGCUGUUUGGAAGAAACUAUUGUCUGUAUUUUCAAUUGAAUUCAGAGGUUCUGUCUUCAGGCUUUGAGAUGAACCAGAAACAGUUCAGUUAUUAAUUAGCUAUAAAAGGAUCCCUCCAUGUUAUAAACCCUAAUCCUGGCCAAGGUCACCUGGAGUCUCCCCCAGGCAGUGCGGGGCACCAGGCUGGGGUUCACCCUGGGUGGGGUGCCAGUCCAUCAUGGGGCAAAUACAUGGACAUUCUUAAAGAUGGACAAAAAUACAUCAAAAUGUAUUUUAAUAUAAAAUACCCUGUUUGUAAUAUACUACAGAAUACAACCACCAAGCAAAGUAUCAAAAUAGACUCCAGUAUUUCAUAUUUUAAAAAUACAAAAAUAAAUCUUGCGCACUUCUAUAGGAUAUCGGCCUGCUCCUUCACAAAUGGCCAUGCAUAUAAACAGCACUUUUCUAUUACUUAACGUAAUAAAAUACAAAUAUGAAACCAAAC